AAAGCAUAAGCACGAGCAUGAGCAUAAAAGCUCAAGUGCCUCAGCAAACAGAGAGUCCCCCUCAAGUUUAUUUACUGUUGGUGUAGCUACAAUGCUAACAAGCAUGGUGAUCUGAUUUCCAGAAGUCUAAAAAGGUUAUAAGGCAGUGUUAAAGUAGGGACGGUAACAACAGAUGACAGUGAGAAGGAAGCAUAGAAACUAAAUAGCCUUCUGGUGCCAUCAGAUGGAAUAAAUAUUCUUAUAUAUUUGAAUAGAUUUUGUGGAAAAUCAAGGUAUAUUCAAAAUGAUCACAUAAUCAUCACAAUCAGAGUCAGAGACUUUGAAGGGACCAUGCAGAAUAUCUCAUACUACUUAUAUCUAACAGAAAUCUCUUAUGAAGAACUAUAGAACCUCCAAUGAUAAGGAACCCAGUAUUCCCCAAAGACAAUCCAUUCCAUUUUAGGAAAAUUCAAAUCAUUCAUAAAUCUGAAGGAACACUGAGUUGAAGUCUACCGCAAUACAUGAACCUAUCAUACAUACCUAGUUCAUCCUCUUUGUGUUACACAGAAAAACCUAAUCCUUCUUCCACAUGACAGUCCUUCAGAUAUUUGAAGAGCCACUCAAGCUCACCUCUCUUGCCUGGGAUCCCCGGAAAAGAGGCAUCUGCACUGAGAAUUACCUUCCAGCUUUCUUCACCAGUAAGGAUCAUUGA